ACGGAACGGAAGCUAUUUGUUGCUAGAAUAAUCUUCCACUCCCCAAAAUGAACAGUCAGAGGAAAAACUCCCUAGGACAAUUCUCUGUCUGAUGGGUUCUUUGGGUUUUUGUGAUGCUACAGGAAAGUGAAGGAAUCUCAAAGGUGGACUGUAUUCCAAAGAUUGCACCUUCUGGCUCCAGUUUAACAAGAAUUAUGCUGCCCUGACAUCCCAAUUUGGAGAGGAUUACUUGACUAUCAACUAAUUUGAAGAAUGAGGGACAUGACUAAAUU